rnacentral:rRNA from 1 species
GACGAACGCUGGCGGCGUGCUUAACACAUGCAAGUCGAACGGUGAAGCGCUUUCCUUUUUGGUUGGUGUGGAUGAGUGGCGAACGGGUGAGUAACACGUGAGUAACCUGCCCCCUUCUUCUGGAUAACCGCAUGAAAGUGUGGCUAAUACGGGAUAUUCUGCGCCUGCUGCAUGGUGGGUGUGGGAAAGAUUGUGCCUUUGGGUGUUUUCGGUGGGGGAUGGGCUCGCGGCCUAUCAGCUUGUUGGUGGGGUGAUGGCCUACCAAGGCGGUGACGGGUAGCCGGCCUGAGAGGGUGGACGGUCACACUGGGACUGAGACACGGCCCAGACUCCUACGGGAGGCAGCAGUGGGGAAUAGUGCACAAGGGGCGCAAGCCUGAUGCAGCGACGCCGCGUGAGGGAUGGAGGCCUUCGGGGUGUGAACCUCUUUCGCCAGUGAAGCAGGCCUGCUCCUUGUGGGUGGGUUGACGGUAGCUGGAGAAGAAGCGCCGGCUAACUACGUG